rnacentral:rRNA from 1 species
GAUGAACGCUGGCGGCGUGCCUAAUACAUGCAAGUCGAGCGAACGGACGAGAAGCUUGCUUCUCUGAUGUUAGCGGCGGACGGGUGAGUAACACGUGGAUAACCUACCUAUAAGACUGGGAUAACUUCGGGAAACCGGAGCUAAUACCGGAUAAUAUUUUGAACCGCAUGGUUCAAAAGUAAAAGACGGUCUUGCUGUCACUUAUAGAUGGAUCCGCGCUGCAUUAGCUAGUUGGUAAGGUAACGGCUUACCAAGGCAACGAUGCAUAGCCGACCUGAGAGGGUGAUCGGCCACACUGGAACUGAGACACGGUCCAGACUCCUACGGGAGGCAGCAGUAGGGAAUCUUCCGCAAUGGGCGAAAGCCUGACGGAGCAACGCCGCGUGAGUGAUGAAGGUCUUCGGAUCGUAAAACUCUGCUAUUAGGGAAGAACAUAUGUGUAAGUAACUGUGCACAUCUUGACGGUACCUAAUCAGAAAGCCACGGCUAACUACGUG